rnacentral:rRNA from 1 species
GAUGAACGCUGGCGGCGUGCCUAAUACAUGCAAGUCGAGCGAACAGACGAUGAGCUUGCUCCUCUGACGUUAGCGGCGGACGGGUGAGUAACACGUGGAUAAUCUACCUAUAAGACUGGGAUAACUUCGGGAAACCGGCGCUAAUACCGGAUAAUAUAUUGAAGCGCAUGGUUCAAUAGUGAAAGACGGCUUUGCUGGCACUACUAGAUGGAUCCGCGCCGCAUUAGCUAGUUGGUAAGGUAACGGCUUACCAAGGCGACGAUGCGUAGCCGACCUGAGAGGGUGAUCGGCCACACUGGAACUGAGACACGGUCCAGACUCCUACGGGAGGCAGCAGUAGGGAAUCUUCCGCAAUGGGCGAAAGCCUGACGGAGCAACGCCGCGUGAGUGAUGAAGGUCUUCGGAUCGUAAAACUCUGUUAUUAGGGAAGAACAAAUGUGUAAGUAACUAUGCACGUCUUGACGGUACCUAAUCAGAAAGCCACGGCUAACUACGUG